rnacentral:siRNA from 1 species
CAAUUAUGUUUGGUCUUGCAUCAU